AAAUUGUUUUGGGAAAUAUUGGUA
rnacentral:piRNA from 1 species